rnacentral:rRNA from 1 species
AUUGAACGCUGGCGGCAGGCUUAACACAUGCAAGUCGAGCGAGCGGCGGACGGGUGAGUAAUGUCUGGGAAACUGCCUGAUGGAGGGGGAUAACUCCUGGAAACGGUAGCUAAUACCGCAUACCAUCAGAUGUGCCGAGAUGGGAUUAUCUAGUAGGUGGGGUAUAUGCUCACCUAGGCGACGAUCCCUAGCUGGUCUGGGAGGAAGACCCACCACACUGGAACUGAGACAGGGUCCAGACUCAUACGGGAGGCAGCAGUGGGGAAUGUUGCACAAUAGGCGAAAGCCCGAUGCAGCCAUGCAGCCUGUGUGAAGAAGUCCUUCGAGUUGUAAAGCACUUUCAGCAAGGAGGCGUUACUCGCAGAAGAAGCACCGGCUAACUCAGUGCCAGCAGCCGCAAUAAUUC